rnacentral:rRNA from 1 species
CCUACGGGGGGCUGCAGUGGGGAAUAUUGCACAAUGGGGGAAACCCUGAUGCAGCAACGCCGCGUGAGCGAUGAAGGCCUUCGGGUCGUAAAGCUCUGUCCUAAGGGAAGAAUACUGACGGUACCUUAGGAGGAAGCCCCGGCUAACUACGUGCCAGCAGCCGCGGUAAUACGUAGGGGGCUAGCGUUAUCCGGAAUUACUGGGCGUAAAGGGUGCGUAGGCGGCCCUUCAAGUCAGAGGUGAAAGGCUACGGCUCAACCGUAGUAAGCCUUUGAAACUGUAGGGCUUGAGUGCAGGAGGGGGAGGUGGAAAUCCCAGGUGUAGGGUUAAAUGGCUAGGUUAUGGGGGGGAACACCGGUGGGGAAGGGGGUCUUUGGGAUUUUAACUGCGGUGAGGGCCCAAAGGCUUGGGAGCGAACAGGAUUAGAUACCCGAGUAGUC